AUUUAUAUAGUAUAAAAAGUAUAUUUAACUUCCAAUUAAAUGGUCUAACAUUUAGUAUAAAUA
rnacentral:tRNA from 1 species